GCUUUUGUACACACCGCCCGUCGCUACUACCGAUUGAAUGAUUUAGUGAGGUCUUCGGACUGGUACGCGGCAUCGACUCUGUCGUUGCCGAUGCUACCGGAAAGAUGACCAAACUUGAUCAUUUAGAGGAAGUAAAAGUCGUAACAAGGUUUCCGUUGGUGAACCUGCGGAAGGAUCAUUA
rnacentral:rRNA from 1 species